rnacentral:rRNA from 1 species
GAGUUUGAUUCUGGCUCAGAACGAACGCUGGCGGCGUGGAUAAGACAUGCAAGUCGAACGGUUAAUUGUGGCGUUAAACCUGCGAUUAAUAGUGGCGAACGGGUGCGUAACACGUGGAUAACAUUUCAGAAAGACAGCAAUAGCUCAGGGAAACCUGGGGUAAUGGCUGAUAUCCCCACGGGGUAAGGAUCGGGACCCUCGGGCCGGUCGCUUUUUGUUUGGUCUGCGACCUAUCAGCUAGUUGGUGCGGUAACGGCGCACCAAGGCUACGACGGGUAACUGGUCUGAGAGGACGACCAGUCACACUGGAACCGAGACACGGUCCAGACGCCUACGGGUGGCAGCAGUCGAGAAUCUUUCACAAUGGGGGCAACCCUGAUGGAGUGACGCCGCGUGGAGGAUAAGGUCUUCGGAUUGUAAACUCCUGUCAUGCGGGAUCAAGACGUUAGAUAAAUAGUCGAAGCGUUUGAUAGUACCGCAAGAGGAAGAGACGGCAAACUCUGUGCCAGCAGCCGCGGUAAUACAGAGGUCUCAAGCGUUGUUCGGAUUCACUGGGCGUAAAGGGUGCGCAGGCGGUGGGGUUAGUCAUGUGCGAAAUCUCCGAGCUCAACUCGGAUAAUGUACAUGAAACUGCCUCACUUGAGAUUUUGAGAGGGGGUUAGAAUUCACGGAGUAGCAGUGAAAUGCGUGGAGAUCGUGAGGAAUACCAAAGGCGAAGGCAGACUCCUGGCAUAUAUCUGACGCUAAGGCACGAAGGCCAAGGUAGCGAACGGGAUUAGAUACCCCGGUAGUCUUGGCUGUAAACGGUGCAUGCUUGGUCUGGGUGGCUUUGACUCCAUUUGGGCCGUAGUUAACACGAUAAGCAUGCCGCCUGGGAAGUACGGUCGCAAGACUAAAACUCAAAGAAAUUGACGGGGACCCGCACAAGCGGUGGAGUAUGUGGCUUAAUUCGAUGCAACGCGAAGAACCUUACCUGGGUUUGACAUGUAUUGUGUCACCGUUGAAAUGCGGUUAGCGAAGAAAUUCGCGCUUUACACAGGUGCUGCAUGGCUGUCGUCAGCUCGUGUCGUGAGAUGUUGGGUUAAGUCCCGCAACGAGCGCAACCCCUAUUGUUUUUUGCAAUCCACUUGUUGGAGCACUCAAACAAGACUGCCUAGAUUAACUAGGAGGAAGGUGGGGAUGACGUCAAGUCAGGAUGGCCCUUACACCCAGGGCUGCACACGUACUACAAUGCUUUGUACAAUGAGAGCCAAUACCGAGAGGUGGAGGAAAUCGUAAAGCAAGGCUAAGUUCGGAUUCCAGGCUGCAACUCGCCUGCAUGAAGUUGGAAUCGCUAGUAAUGGCAUAUCAGCUACGGUGCCGUGAAUACGUUCCCGGGUCUUGUACACACCGCCCGACACAUCAUGGAAAUCGGCCCCUCCCGAGAAGGUUUAGGCCAUUAAGGCGGGGCUGAUAACUGGC